AAUGCACACGCGUGGGAGGCGAGAGACCGGGGAACAGCGAAACCACCAGUGCAGGAAACAAAGCAGCAGCCACAGCGCAGCAGCUGCCUCGCCGUUGUCAAGUGUCGGCCGAGGUAUCGCGGGACUACACAUAGCGGGUCAUGAGGGGGAAAUUGUUCUUCCGCCUCCAUCAUCUCAUUCAUCCUACUACAUCUACUUGAAGCCACAAGGGGAAGUUACAUCCACAUGAAUUCAGAUGCCAGAAAUAAAAUGAGGAAAGAAGAGCCAUAUUGCGUAUUGAAACUUGAAGCUUAGCAAAUAUGGCAUUUACAACACACAAGGGCGUCAGAACCUGCCAACCUGUAUAGCUAGUCAACAAGUGCUCAGUUAAAGAAGGGUGCCUUGAGUGCCCUCUGCUGCUGUGCAUCUCUGCAUGAAGAUAUAAAGUAUAAAUGGUGGAGCUGUCCCCAACACCCUCCCCAUCCCUCAGUUUCUGCCUGCCAUAUGGACUUCAACAGAGAUGGGAAGGAAGGUGACUCACAAGCAGAUUGAUCUGGAGGUGGAUCCGCAGUCUAUUUGAACAGUGAUUGUAGAACAAAAGGCCUGAAUCUUACUGUUCCUGGACUGAUGGGCUAUAGCGUAAUGAAAAGCAAAUGUGUCUACUGAUGACCAAGUUGCUACUUUGAAAAUGUCCAGAAUAGGAACUUGUGCCAGAAAAGCUGCAGAUGCUACAUGUGCCCUAGUUGAAUAGGCAAGCAUUCCAACUGGUGGAGUGACAUUAGCCAACUGGUAACACAAAUGAAUACACAAAGAAAUCCAGGAGGAAGUCCUCUGAACAGAUACUUGUGGCAUUUCCUUCUGUCCACCACCACAAUGAACAAAGGUGAUGAUCUAAAUGAUUUAGUCUGGUCCAGAUAAAAGGCUAAAACUC